rnacentral:lncRNA from 8 species
AUGAGGCUGAGUACAGAUUCCUGACUGUAUAGUUACUGUAAAUCCACCCAGACUACUGCUGGAUGUAUAGACUAUAUAGUUACUGUACAUCCCCCCAGACUACUGCUGGAUGUAUAGUUACUGUAAAUCCACCCAGACUACUGCUGGAUGUAUAGACUGUAUUGUUACUGUAAAUCCACCCAGACUACUGCUGGAUGUAUAGACUGUAUAGUUACUGUACAUCCACCCAGACUACUGCUGGAUGUAUAGACUGUAUAGUUACUGUAAAACCACCCAGACUACUGCAGGAUGUAUUGUUACUGUAACUCCACCCAGACUGCUGCUGGAUGUAUAGACUGUAUAGUUACUGUAAAACCACCCAGACUACUGCAGGAUGUAUUGUUACUGUAACUCCACCCAGACUACUGCAGGAUGUAUAGACUGUAUAGUUACUGUAAAUCCACCCAGACUACUGCAGGAUGUAUAGACUGUAUAGUUACUGUAACCACCCAGACUACUGCAGGAUGUAUAGACUGUAUAGUUACUGUAAAUCCACCCAGACUACUGCUAGAUGUAUAGUUACUGUAAAUCCACCCAGACUACUGCUGGAUGUAUAGACUGUAUAGUUACUGUAAAUCCACCCAGGCUACUGCAGGAUGUAUAGUUACUGUAACUCCACCCAGACU